UGGGGAAUAUUGGGCAAUGGGCGCAAGCCUGACCCAGCAACGCCGCGUGAAGGAAGAAGGCUUUCGGGUUGUAAACUUCUUUUGACAGGGAAGAGCAGAAGACGGUACCUGUCGAAUAAGCCACGGCUAACUACGUGCCAGCAGCCGCGGUAAUACGUAGGUGGCAAGCGUUGUCCGGAUUUACUGGGUGUAAAGGGCGUGUAGCCGGGCUGACAAGUCAGAUGUGAAAUCCGGGGGCUCAACCCCCGAACUGCAUUUGAAACUGUUGGUCUUGAGUAUCGGAGAGGCAGGCGGAAUUCCUAG
rnacentral:rRNA from 1 species